UACGGAGGGUGCAAGCAUUAAUCGGAUUUAUUGGGCGUAAAGGGUGCGUAGGUGGCAAAGUAAGUUGGAUGUGAAAUCCUGGGGCUUAACCUCAGAAUUGCAUUCAAUACUGCUUAGCUAGAGAGCUGUAGAGGAGACUGGAAUUUACGGUGUAGCAGUGAAAUGCGUAGAUAUCGUAAGGAACGCCAGUGGCGAAAGCGAGUCUCUGGGCAGCAUCUGACACUGAGGCACGAAGGCCAGGGGAGCAAACGGG
rnacentral:rRNA from 1 species